GGAGCAGCCGAUACCCCGCACGCGCAAAAGGAGCGAACGUGCCCGCGCGCGCGUUGCUGACGCCGUUGCUACUCUACUACUGACGGAAUACAACGCGCCGCCUCAUUGGGCGGGAAGUCUCACAAGUCGAUUCCUCGUCCAGCCCCUUUGGCUGCCCCCCCCCAUCGCUACCACCUCGCGCCUUCUUCAGGGGCUGGACGGACGACCGACCGAUUGAGCAGAACGUGGGCGAGGGGGAUGGGAAGAUGUUGCAGGGUAGGUGGAAGCCGCACGGAGCGUCAAGAGACGGUGAUGUUUUCUGUCAGAGGAAAAGAGCGGCCGACCGGCUAUGAAGGACUCCAUUUCCCUCGGGGCUGCUGAGGUUCUUCCGUCUCCACUCACGGGUGGCGGCGGCGGCGAUAUUGUGAGGCAAGAAACCUCGACUGUAUGUGCCGCCACCCCUACACACACCCCGCCGCCAGCCUUGGUCGGUUUCCGCCGGGCCCCUCAGGUUAAGGGACUGCCAAAAUCAUCAGCAUCUUCCCGGGCUUUGCGGGCUCCCACUUAACUUUAUGUGGGGAGGUAAACCCUCGGGGUGCUUCACACGUUACGCGUUUCUCGCACGGAAAGAAGGCACUCCUCCUGGACGGGAAGAAGCUGUGCGGCGUCCGCGCCUGGGUCGCCUUUCUGGGAUUGUUCCACGCGCUUUCCUUUGAGCCCUGGGGCAGACGAAGGGGGUGCAACGCCCUUUCCCUCCUUCCUGCAGGGAGACUUUUGACGCGGGAGCUGUCGGGCUCCGGGAAAAGAUAAACGCUACCGAGCGAAAACGCGGGUGUCAAAAGAGGUUGCAUCCUGAAAAGAAAAACAAAGCUCUGGAGCUUUUAAAACACGAAAAGAGAGAUUCACAAAGCUUCCAGCUUUAUGUCUUUCAUCAAGUUACCAGCUUCUGUAGACAAGGAAGGCAGGCUACAUGCAUCCUACAAUAUCACCCUCAUGAUUGCAAAGAAGGGAAGGUCACAUGCGGUUAGCGAGGAGAUCAGUCUACUAACCAUAAAGGACCCAAUUUGAAGAGUAUUGUACUGAGUAGCCAUACCAUUCAGUGCGAUAUUUAUGAGGUGGCUGAGGAUAUCAAAAACAAAACAGUGACUUCAGAACUUCAACAGUGUAACUUUGCUAUCCAGCUGGACGAGUCACCAUUUGGAAGUGUUAAUAUUUGUAUGCCAUAUGUAUUGUAGUCCUAGCAAAAGGUGCAUUAUUGAUGAGCUGUUUGCCAAGUUUUUAAAAGCUGACUUGAAAGGUGAAACACUUUUCUUGUCCUUGGAGGAGUAUUUUUUUUAAAGAAAUAUGACGUUUCACUAGUAAUAUUACAGCAGGUGCUUCCAGGAGUGCACCAGGCAAUGAUUCCAGGUGGCGUAGAUUUUCAGCUUUUCUGAAGCAAAAAGCUCCUUAUUUAAGUACUGUACAUCAUGUUCUGUACCAACAGCAUCUUGUUGCAAAAACCUCAGUGAAGAACUUCAAAAAUUUAGAAAGUGUAUCAAAUCAUUUGACAAGAUGAAAGCAAGCUGACUUAAUUCUCACCUUUUUGCAAAGUUAUGUGAAAAGAAUGAUGAAAAUUUCACCCAGCUACUUCUGCAUACAGAUUAUAUGGUUGCUAUGAAAGGGAGAUGAUUUACAAAGACUAGUCAAGCUUUUUGAUUCAGCCAUAGAGUUCCUGAAAGAUGUGGAACCAUCACUGGAUAAUGAGUAGUUGUUCUGGAAAAACCAUCUGUUUAAUUUAGCUGACUUGUAUUCUGAAUUUAAUGAAGUACAAGAAGACUGCAAAGGGGAAAGACAUUACUAUCAUUAAACCCUAAACCAUUAUAAUGGUUUUGCAAAAACAGAUAGGCUUCCACAAAUCUGCUUUAGUACACAGAGACUUACAAUACUUCACAAACAUGUCACAGGAAUCAGGAUAGUAUUACAGAUAACAGCAUGCUCAUCUGUACAGCCCAUCUUGAAAAUCUGAAGGAAGAUUUUAAGGUUUGCUUCAAAGAUGCUGAAAAUAUAUAGAUUCUUGAUUGGAUUAUGUCUCCAUUUGACAUUGAAGCAGGAAUUGCAAAUGUGGAGCCUAACCUACAGGACAAAUUCAUCAAAUGAGGGUGCUUCUUGAGACAAAGGUUCUUUUCAGUGGUAAGGACUUCGGUGGUUACAGGAGCAGUGAGAACCUUUGUAUAGCUUAUGGACUCAUUACUGGUGACAUUUCCAAAUUCAUACAUGGUCAAACUGGAUUGAGCCAUGUUAGUACUUUGUUGAACAAACUGAGAAACAGGCUGAAUGUCGAAGAAUGUGGUGACAAGACUUAAAUUCACCAACCUACAGCCCAGUAUUCAUACACUUGUCUAAACUUGUCAGGCCCAUCCAUGUCAUUAUAGAAGAUUAAAAAUAUGGUAUUAUUAUUUUCAUUCAUUUAUCUUUUACAUUUUAUGAUUCCUAGUAAUGGUGACUGAUAAUUAAUAAAUGUUAAUUAUAUACUGAUA